CCGGCCAGGAAUUCCAGGCUCACAAGGCUAUCUUAGCAGCUCGUUCUCCGGUUUUUAGUGCCAUGUUUGAACAUGAAAUGGAGGAGAGCAAAAAGAAUCGAGUUGAAAUCAAUGAUGUGGAGCCUGAAGUUUUUAAGGAAAUGAUGUGCUUCAUUUACACGGGGAAGGCUCCAAACCUCGACAAAAUGGCUGAUGAUUUGCUGGCAGCUGCUGACAAGGUAAGAUAAGAAUAGAAAAAUAAUCAGGACUAGGAGUUAUUGUGACUUCUUGUGUUUCAUGAACAGGAUUCUAUGUUGCAUUGUGGGUAAAAUGAGCAUAUAUCUUGGUUUGGCCAAGACGGUCCUGGUUUACACAUAUUAUUCCAACACAAUUAUUAAUAGCACACUUUUUAUUCUCAAAA
rnacentral:lncRNA from 1 species